CCUUGAGAUCAGCGGCGAUUAGCGAGAGAUCGGAACAACAGGAGAGAGCGAAGACUAUAAAGAAGAUACCGAAGACGCUGCUGAGAAAAGCUUGCCUCAUUCAGUAGCUGUUUCAGAGGUUUUUCUAGAGAGAGAAGAUUCCGAUUCAACUUUUAGAGAGGGAAAUUCCGAUUCUCUUUUCUUCGUUGUUUCUUCACUUCUUCCCAGGUCUCCGAUCUUCAUCUUCUGCUCUUUUUUUUUGUGGGUAAAUUCAUCUCAUCAUCUUCUGCUCUGUUUACUUGUUUGGGUAAUUCUGAGAUUAACGACGGCAAAACCGUUCCAUUUGGUCUCCGAUCUGUUACCCCUCGUCGCCUGACUCACGCUGAGUCAGGGUUCCGCUACCCGGUAUUUUUCGAAUGAAUUAGAGGGGAAGAUGAGAUCUUCUGGGAAGGACUUAUCAUGCAUUAUAAGCUCGAUGGAGUUGAUGAUGCUGAGGAAUAUUUUUGCUACCAGAAGAGCAAUGGAUAUAGUCAGUAUCAGUGAAAAAGAACAGAUAAGCCUUCCAUCUCGUCUUUUUUAAGAAUAACAUGCUUUCUGCUGUAAAUGUCUUGUUGAUUAUUCAGGCAAUUCCUUCCAGGGAGAAAGUUUUAAAGUUGUUGCUGCAAUCCUGCCUCUAGGUAAUGUUGAAUUUGCAAAAGGACCAGAGGUGGACUCUUUGGUUUUGAAGGAUAAGAAAUCAAGAUACAAAUAUAAUGUGACGGCUGACCUCCUUAAGUGUGAUGCAAAGAGAUUGGAAGAUGCUUUAAUAAAACGUGUAAUGGUAACACCAGAAGCGGUGAUCACGAGGACCCUUGAUCCUAAUUCAGCAGCAGGUAGCAGGGAUGCUGUAGCUAAAACAAUCCAUUUUCGAUCGAUUGAUUGGUAUGAUAAGAAAAUUUAUUACAUUUUAAGUGUGUAGAUAACUGUGUUUCUAUGUUUGUUUCUACAUGCAUUUUCUAUGGAAGACAUUAGAGUCUUAGAUUACGUCAUCAGUUGUGAUGUACAUAUUAGAAUAAAAUAGCUAACACAUCAGCUCAAUGGGGCAAGAUCCGAACUCCAUAAGGAUAAUUGGAGUUCUUGAUAUCUAUGAUUUUGGAAGUUUUAAGAUCAACAUAUAAUUUUGUAGCUUGCAGAAUUAUUAUCCGGAUUGUAAUUUGUACCCUAAUUUUGAGCUGUGUUAUAUCAAUUUGAUCAAUGAAAAGCUGCAACAACAUUUCAACCAGGUCAGUUGGCUUCAUACCAUGUUGCUUUUUAGUUUAUAUUGUCGCACUACUUGGUAUUGACAUAUAAUUAUCGUAUUUAACGUGGAACAAGAAGAAUAUACCAAAAAAACAAAUCAACAGGAGUUACAUAGAAUUUGCUGAUAAUAAGGAUGUAUUAGAUCUCAUUGAAAAGUAGGUCGUUGUCUUCUUCUCUCAUUUUAUUCAGAAUGCAGUUGUGCUACUGUUGUUAGGCUCAUUUUGUGCAUAUGUUUAUGUCUAAAGCAAGUUGAGGAGUCAUUGCUCUUGUAGAUGAAACCAUGGUAUAUGCAGCUGGAACUUACUGCAGAGUUUUAUGCUUUUGUUCUACCUUUAUGCAUUAGAUGUCUAUUGCAUUUCUAUCUCCUGAACCAGUUUGAUCCAAGCUAAGCUAAACAAACUGGUUCAGAAAAUAGAAAUGCAAUAGACAUCUAAUGCAUAAAGGUAGAACAAAAGCAUAAAACUCUGCAGUACGUUCCAGCUGCAUAUACCAUGGUUUCAUCUACAAGAGCAAUGACUCCUCCACUUGCUUUAGACAUAAACAUAUGCACAAAAUGAGUCUAACAACUGUAUUUUGAAUAAAAUAAGAGAAGAAGACAGCGACCUACUUUUCAGUGAGAUCCAAUACAUCCUUGUUAUCAGCAAAUUCUAUGUAACUCCUGUUGAUUUGUUCUUUGGUAUAUUCUUUUUGCUCCACGUUAAAUACGAUAAUUAUAUGUCAAAUUCAAGUAACCCGAGAAUAUACAUUAAAAAGCAACAUAGUAUGAGGCCAACUGACCUGGUUGAAAUGCUGCUGUAGUUUUUCAUUGAUGAAAUUGAUACAACACAGCUCAAAACUGGGGUACAAAUUACAAUCCGGACAAUAAUUCUGCAAGUUACAAAAUUACAUGUUGAUCUUAAAGCUUCCAAAAUCAUAGAUAUCAAGAACUCCAAUUACCCUUAGGGAGUUCGGAUCUUGCCCGAUUGAGCUGAUGUGUUAGAUAUUACAUCACAACUGUUGAUGUAGUCUAAGACUCUAAUGUCUUCCAUAGAAAAUGCAUGUAGAAACAAAUAUAGAAACACAGAGUAAUCUACACACUAAAAAUAUAAUAAAUUUUCUUCGCAUACCAAUCAAUGGACCGAGAAUGGAUUGUUUUAGCUAAGGCACCCUGCUACCUGCUGCAGAAUCAGGAUCAAGGGUCCUCGUGAUCACCGCUUAUGGUGUUACCAUUACACGUUUUAUUAAAGCAUCUUCCAAGCUCUUUGCAUCACAUCUUCUAAACAUAUUGUGAAAAGCAUAUAGCAUCAAAUAUAAAUCUGAUCCAAACUAAGAUAAAAAAACUGGUUCAGAAAAUAGAACAGCAAUGGACAACUAAUGCAUAAAGGCAGAACAAAAGCAUAAAACUCUGCAGUAAGCUCCAGCACCAUAUACCAAGCUUCAAAUAAAAGGCAAUGAUCCUGAUUCUGCAUACUAUGUUGCUUGUUAAUGUAGAUUCUCGGGUUACUUGAUAUUGACAUAUAAUUAUCGUAUUUAACGUGGAACAAGAAGAAUAUACCAAAGAACAAAUCAACAGAAGUUACAUAGAAUUUGCUGAUAACAAGGAUGUAUUGGAUCUCAUUGAAAAGCAGGUCGCUGUCUUCUUCUCUCAUUUUAUUCAGAAUGCAGUUGUGCUACUGUUGGUAGGCUCAUUUUCUGCAUAUGUUUAUGUCUAAAGCAAGUUGAGGAGUCAUUGCUCUUGUAGAUGAAACCAUGGUAUAUGCAGCUGGAACUUACUGCAGAGUUUUAUGCUUUUGUUCUAUCUUAGAUGUCCAUUGUAUUUCUAUUUUCUGAACCAGUUUGUCUAGCUUAGCUUGGAUCAGAUUUAUAAUUGAUAUUAAAUUCUUUUCGCUGUAUGUUUCUGAUGUCAACACAUGAAACAUUUGCUCCUAAGUUGUAUCAAACAUUAACAAACAACAAGCGGUGUAGGAAGCCAAAGCAAUCUUGAACCAGUUUCACGAUAUCACCAUACGCUGGAGAGCGGUGUAGCAAGCCAAAGCAAUCUUGAACCAGUUUCACGAUAUCACCUUACGCUUGAGAGGUUGCUUAUCGGGCUGACCCGUUUCUUCACAAGAACAAAGAUUCUGUGGUGGCAGAACAUCAGAUCCCCUUGAAAGCUUCUAGUUGUCCUUUCUUAGCUGUAUGUUUCCGAAGUCAACACAUGAAGCAUUUGCUCAAAAGUUGUAUCAAACAUUAAAAAACCGCAAGCGGUAUAGCAAGCCAAUGCAUUUGCUCAGAAGCUGUAUCAAAUAUUCGAAAACAGCAAGCCGAAGCAUUGCAUAAGAAGGGUUAUGAAGUCAUUCAUCGAAACUGAAAAAAGACAUUAGAUGAAAUAACAAGAGAACUCUGCCGGGUGCUAAGUAAACAGCAGCUAUACAGAAUCAGCACGAUGUACUGGGACGAUAAAUAUGGCACCCAUAACAUCUCAUCAGAUCCAUAGGGAUUACCAGCAUAAGAGUGAUGAUGACAGAAGACUCCGACAAUGCCAUCAGCAGUUCUUUUCUCUUGGACUUUGGACAACGACUCGAGGUACUUCCUUUCUCCCGCUGAUAGUUUCCGUUUUACGCCUUUGUGUUUCUUCUCUAUUCCCGUUCGUUUUUUCUCAACGCCCAAAAAUGCAGCAGCCCCAAACAAAACCACAUAAAGAUUCCAAUAUCAUUUGUCACAUAAAAAAUUAUAUUUUAAAAAUUGUGUAACAUU